rnacentral:rRNA from 1 species
UACGAGGGGGGCAAAUGUUGUUCGGAAUCACUGGGCGUAAAGGGAGCGUAGGCGGGUUUCUAAGUCAGGUGUUUAAUCCCGGGGCCCAACCCCGGACAGGCACUUGAAACUGGGAAUCUUGAAUAGUGGAGAGGUCAGUGGAAUUGGGGGUGUAGCGGUGGAAUGCGUAGAGAUCCCCAAGAACACCAGUGGCGAAGGCGGCUCACUGGACCGGUUCUGACGCUGAGGCGCGAAAGCGUGGGGAGCAAACAGG